CUUGAGAUAGCUCAGUUGUUUAGAGUAUGGUGCUAAUUACACCAAGGUUACAGAUUCAAUCCCAUUUACUUAAGA